AGCCCACUUAUUGCUAAAACUGGAAAGCAUAUACAAUGUACCUCACAGGUGUUGAUGAGAUAGUGGAACAGAUGUCCUGCUGUUUUUGAUGCAGCACAGGUAAUUUUAUGUAUUCAUUUACAGGAUAACCUAUGAAGUUAUUUAAGAUUCUUUGUUUUAUAUUUACUAAUUGUGCUGUUUAACUGUGCAUCAUUUUAUACAGCUAAAUGAUGAAUUUAAAAGGAUCACCACUGUUAACCUGGAAAGGACAUUCAUGGAAAAACUGGACCUUGAAUAAAUACUUAAUGUCAUAGCUAGGUUUAGGAGUGUUAUUUGAGGGUACUAUUGGCUACAUUAUUGGUAUCGGAGGAGUGUAAGUCUGUAAAUACUUAGACAUCACAGGUAAGAUGAGAAUAUAUUAAGGUAGGUAUUAAGCACAGUAUUGGUAACUGAGGAGUGUAAUUCCAAUUAAAUAAGUAACCAUUACAACUAGUUUAAGCAAAGUAAAUUAAGGUAAGUAUUGAGUGCAUUAUUGGUAACUUAAAUACUUGGCCCAUCACGAGUGAGUUGGGGAGAAUACAUUGAGGUAAGUACUGUGAUUAUAGAUAACUAAGUUAGGUAAUACCUUAGGGUGUUCCAGGUAUCUUGGAUAUAUUACUUGGGAUGUCAGCUUUGCUACAAGGUAACUGAAAUUCCACAGUGCAAAUAAGGAAGUGACAAACAUGAACUACGGACGACAGGAGCUUUUAAGGGUUUAUUCAUGCACACGGCCAAGAGCUAUUACAGUACUUGACCACACACAUUGUAAAUUCUAGUUCAAAGCUUUGGGCAGAGACAGGAUCAAAGAUUAAAACAAAGUAAGCUGACAAGUAGAAAAAGUAAUUACUAAAUGGAAUAUAAUUAAAUCUUUUAACCUGGUUCAGUAGUAUGUUUACAUACUGAUGAAUUUGUCUUCUCUCUUACAAAUGUACUGUAACCCUUUAAAGAGAUUUGUUUUCCCUGUUCCAUUUUUUAGUAGAAAGGAGGAGAGAGGUUGUUAUCCAUUCCCUGUUGGUGUAUCUGAAAGAAAAAGAAGGAUCUCUUCAGAGAAUACUUGGAUGAUUAAGUGCAGUUUACUGGAGAAAUGAUGAAGAGCGCAGUCAUGACUCACCCAGCC
ensembl:lncRNA